GACGAACGCUGGCGGUGUGCUUAACACAUGCAAGUCGAACGGAGCGAAAUGGAAGCUUGCCUCUAUGGAGCUUAGUGGCGAACGGGUGAGUAACGCGUAAAUCAACCUGCCCUUCAGAGGGGGACAACAGUUGGAAACGACUGCUAAUACCGCAUACGAUUCAACUUCGGCAUCGAGGAUGAAUGAAAGGUGGCCUCUAUUUAUAAGCUAUCGCUGAAGGAGGGGAUUGCGUCUGAUUAGCUAGUUGGAGGGGUAACGGCCCACCAAGGCGAUGAUCAGUAGCCGGUCUGAGAGGAUGAACGGCCACAUUGGGACUGAGACACGGCCCAGACUCCUACGGAGGCAGCGAGUGGGGAAUCUUCCGCAAUGGACGAAAGUCUGACGGAGCAACGCCGCGCGAAGUGAUGACGGCCUC
rnacentral:rRNA from 1 species